ACAAGCGGUGGAUGAUGUGGAUUAAUUCGAUGCAACGCGAAGAACCUUACCUACCCUUGACAUGUCCGGAAUCCUGCAGAGAUGCGGGAGUGCCCGAAAGGGAAUCGGAACACAGGUGCUGCAUGGCUGUCGUCAGCUCGUGUCGUGAGAUGUUGGGUUAAGUCCCGCAACGAGCGCAACCCUUAUCAUUAGUUGCUACGCAAGGGCACUCUAAUGAGACUGCCGGUGACAAACCGGAGGAAGGUGGGGAUGACGUCAAGUCCUCAUGGCCCUUAUGGGUAGGGCUUCACACGUCAUACAAUGGUCGGUACAGAGGGUUGCCAAGCCGCGAGGUGGAGCCAAUCCCAGAAAGCCGAUCGUAGUCCGGAUUGUUCUCUGCAACUCGAGAGCAUGAAGUCGGAAUCGCUAGUAAUCGCGGAUCAGCAUGUCGCGGUGAAUACGUUCCCGGGUCUU
rnacentral:rRNA from 1 species